GGUCUCGGUCUUCCUAGGGAGCCCCAUUCUUGGUUCUCUGGCUUUGGCCCUUUGUGGGCGCCUAGCUCAAGGACAAACCCCAGGAUCCUAAAGAACACACCCAGAGGUGGCUGGGGAGGGAGCAGAGCCAGAAGAGGCCGAUCAGAGCUGCCGCACUCCCUGUCCUCUGGGGUGGAACUGGAGACUGCCCAGCACAGGAGAGGCACAGGGAACUGGGGCGGGAGCUGUCCGUGGUCCUGGCCUACGUCAACGCGUGGAUAUUUAAGGCCAAGAACUGCGCGUCCGUCUUCUACAGCUGUUGAAGAAGUCCCGGAUUGUGGAGCUGGAACUGAUUUUAAUGAACCUGCUCACAUGCAAGGUCUGAGAUUCACGUUUCCGCACCCUCCCGAGCGAUUGCUCCUUCAUGUUGGUUUUAGCAAAGAUUUUUCUGGAUAUGAUACCAAAAGCACAAGCAACAAGAACAAAAGUAAACAAACAGGACUCUAUUAAACUAAAUUCUUCAGCACAGCAAAAGAAACAACCAACAAAAUAAAAAGGCAACCAAUGGAAUGGGAGAAAAUUCUGCAAACCAUACAUCUAAUAAGGGGUUAAUACUUGAAAUAUAUAAAUAAUUCAUACAACUCAACCAAAAACUCUCAAAAACAAAAUUUCCAAAAAUAAAAAAAAACUCAGUGGAACUGAAUAGAUAUUUUUCAAAAAUGAAAUACUCAUAGCUAGCACUCAACACUAAUCAUCAGGGAAAUGCAAAUCAAAACCACAAUGAGAUAUCACCUCACACCUGUCAGAAUGGCUAUCAUCAAAAAGGCAGGAGAUAACAAGUUUUGGCAAGGACAUGGAAGAAAGCUGACCCUCAUGUACUGUUGAUGGGAAUGUAAAUUGGUGUAGCCACUAUGGAAAACAGUAUGGAGGUUCCUUAAAAAAUUAAAAACAAAACUACCAAUAUGAGCCAGCCAUCUCACUUCUGUAUGUAUCUAAAGGAAAUUAAAAACAGAUAUUGAAGAGAUAUUUUCUCUCUCACUUUCACUACAGCAUUUCUCACAAGCCAAGGCAGAUGUUGAUCAAAGGGUACAGACUUCCAGCUGCAAGACGAGUAACUUCUGGGAAUCUAAUGUAUGCACAGUUACUAUAAUUAAUAAUACUGUAUAAUACACUUGAAAUGUACUGAGAGUAGAUUUUAAGUAUUCUUAUCUCUUGCACACACAUGUAUACACAAAUAUUAAGCAUGUGAAGUAAUCAAAGGCAUUAACUAACCCUACUGUUAUAAAACAUUUUUCAAUAUAUAUGUGUAUCAAAUCAUCAUGUUAUAACUUUAAACUUACACAAUGUGAUAUGACAAUUAUAUCUUAAUAAAUUUGGAAAGUGAAGCAUUCUACAAAAAGAAAAUGACUGUAAUAUGAAUUUUACAAAGACAAGAGACUAGCAUCAUCACUAUUGGAUUUGCUUUGUUCCUUCCAAGCAUUUUCCAUAAACAAUAACAUCUGCCUCUUUAGCUUGCUCAGAGAGGACCCUGCUUCUCCCUCUGCCCAUCGUCUUGCUUGAGCUCUCUCUCUGAAAAAUAAAUAAAUAAAAUAGAUCGGAAGAGGCACGUUUAUAGCAGCAAUUCCCACAAUAGCCAAACUAUGGAAAGAACCUAAAUGUUCAUCAAUAGAUGAAUGGAUAAAGAAGAUGUGAUACACACACACACACACACACACACACACACACACAAUGGAAUACUAUGCAGCCAUCCAAAAACUGAAAUCUGGCCAUUUGCCACGAUGUGGAUGGAAUUAGAAGAUAUUAUGCUAAGUGAAAUAAGUCAAUCAGAGAAAGACAAUUAUCAUAUGAGGAGUUUGAGAGGCAUGGUAGGGGGUUGUGGGCGGUAGGGAGGGAAAAAAAUGAAACAAGUUGGGAUCAGGGACGGGGACAAACUACAAGAGACUCUUAAUCUCGUGAAACAAACUGAGAGUUGCUCGGGGGUGAGGGUGUAGGGCUAGGGUGGCUGGGCUACAGAUAUUAGGGAGGGUAUGUGCUAUGGUGAGUACUGUGAAAUACGUAAGCUUGAUGAUUCACAGACCUGUACCCAUGCAGCAAAUAAUACAUUACAUGUUAAUUUAAAAAGAUAAAAAAAUCACAUCCAAAAAGAUAAAAUCAAUCAAUCAAUCAAUCAGGGCCUGCCAGCAUUUCCAAAGAACCACAGGUGUGUGUGGUGUGUGUGUGUGCAUGUGUGUGCGUGUGUGUGUAUGUGAGUGUAUAUGUGUGCAUGCAUGUGUGUAUAUAUAUAUAUAAUCUGAGAAUCUGUAGCACAGAGUCUGCCAUAUAGAAAGAACUACAAACAGCUGUUGAAAGACAGAAAGAAGGAAAGAAGAGGGAGGGAGAGAGGGAUGAGCAGAGGGAAGGAAGAAAGAAUCUCUUUGCUUAUUAAGAUACAUUUUGAGAAAGAGAGAAAUUUAAGUGUUUCAUGUUGGAAAAUCAAAAUCGCCAUAAACGUUUAUUCCAAACCUAUAUCUCAAGAUUCUAUGAUACAGUAACUACAAAGCAUAGCUCUUCACGUAUCCUCAGAAUACUAAAUGGUUUUGUAUCAUUCAUUACAGGUAGGGAGGCUUAGGAAUCUAAAAACUUAAAACUACCCUUGGUGCACUUCUGCUGGAUGAAGGUAAGUUGCCUUGGGAUGGUACAGUCAGGAAACUGGACACCGUGAUCUGAUUUCCAAGUACCACUAAACGCACCCCUUUAGGAACCUUCCUAUCAGACUAAAUGAAGGACAAAUCUCCAUACUUAAGACUCAAAAUAUAAACUUAAUGCUUGCCAGUCAUUAAGGUUUGAUCAUCACAGUUCUCCUCACCUACCAGGCUUAUUUAAUUGUCAUUAAUAAAUGGCUC
ensembl:lincRNA